UAGGGAAGCAAACAGAAGGUUUUUAAACAAGAGAAUGACAUUAUGGAAGCAGCCUUUAAGGAAUACACUAUCUUCCUUCUGACGAGGAGGAAAAACCAUGAGACGAGGAGGUAAAGCUGACAGCAUUUGCUGUUUCUACCCCACUCCUGCUUCUGCAUCAGGAAGGUCACAGACGAGCCGGAGAGGUGGACUGUGGGUGCCCAGGACCUCACGCCUCACUCGAAGGGAGGGAUCAAACACUACAGUCUCCUGCCUUCAAAGCCAUCAGAGAAAAUGGAUGCUUACGCGGUGUGGUGCACACGCCAGCUUGCGGCUGCCAGCGAAGCUACUCACCUGUG